rnacentral:rRNA from 1 species
CGCCUGUUUAUCAAAAACAUAACCUUUAGCCAAACGAGUAUUAAAGGCAAAGCCUGCCCAGUGAGACCAUCUUUAACGGCCGCGGUACCCUAACCGUGCAAAGGUAGCGUAAUCAUUUGUCUAUUAAUUGUAGACCAGUAUGAAAGGCUACAUGAGAGUCAGACUGUCUCUUGUAAUGAAUCUACUAAACUGAUCUCCUAGUCCAAAAGCUAUGAUAACCAUAUAAGACCAGAAGACCCUGUGAAGCUUAAACUAACCUUCUAAAACAACUAGAAGCUACUUUCAGUUGGGGCGACUAUGGAACAAAACAAAACUUCCAACACAAUAUACUUCAACAGGCAUACAAGCCUCUAUACGACCCAGUCUAACUGACUAACGAAACAAGUUACUCCAGGGAUAACAGCGCUAUCUUCUUCAAGAGCCCAUAUCAAAAAGAAGGUUUACGACCUCGAUGUUGGAUCAGGACACCCAAAUGGUGCAGAAGCUAUUAAAGGUUCGUUUGUUCAACGAUUAACAGUCCUACGUGAUCUGAGUUCAGA